rnacentral:rRNA from 1 species
GACGAACGCUGGCGGCGUGCUUAACACAUGCAAGUCGAACGGAAAGGCCCUGCUUUUGUGGGGUGCUCGAGUGGCGAACGGGUGAGUAACACGUGAGUAACCUGCCCUUGACUUUGGGAUAACUUCAGGAAACUGGGGCUAAUACCGGAUAGGAGCUCCUGCUGCAUGGUGGGGGUUGGAAAGUUUCGGCGGUUGGGGAUGGACUCGCGGCUUAUCAGCUUGUUGGUGGGGUAGUGGCCUACCAAGGCUUUGACGGGUAGCCGGCCUGAGAGGGUGACCGGCCACAUUGGGACUGAGAUACGGCCCAGACUCCUACGGGACGCAGCAGUGGGGAAUAGUGCACAAUGGGAGGAAGCCUGAUGCAGCAACGCCGCGUGCGGGAUGACGGCCUUCGGGUUGUAAACCGCUUUCGCCUGUGACGAAGCGUGAGUGACGGUAAUGGGUAAAGAAGCACCGGCUAACUACGUG